CCUACGGGAGACAGCAGUGAGGAAUAUUGGUCAAUGGGCGAGAGCCUGAACCAGCCAAGUCGCGUGAGGGAGUACUGCCCUAUGGGUUGUAAACCUCUUUUGUCGGGGAGCAAAAGCCGGACGUGUCCGGCUGUGAGAGUACCCGAAGAAAAAGCAUCGGCUAACUCCGUGCCAGCAGCCGCGGUAAUACGGAGGAUGCGAGCGUUAUCCGGAUUUAUUGGGUUUAAAGGGUGCGCAGGCGGAUUUUUAAGUCAGCGGUAAAAUCGUGGGGCUCAACCCCAUCCAGCCGUUGAAACUGGGGAUCUAGAGUGUGCGAGAGGUAUGCGGAAUGCGUGGUGUAGCGGUGAAAUGCAUAGAUAUCACGCAGAACCCCGAUUGCGAAGGCAGCAUACCGGUGCACAACUGACGCUCAGGCACGAAAGCGUGGGUAUCGAACAGGAUUAGAUACCCCAGUAGUG
rnacentral:rRNA from 1 species